rnacentral:lncRNA from 1 species
GACACCCUCAGGGGGGCGGGGCCGGGGGUUCACAAAUGCAUUAAUUAGAAUAAUGGCUUUUUGGCUGGGCGCGGUGACUCACGCCUGUAAUUCCAGCACUUUGGGAGACCGAGGCGGGCAGACUGCUUGAGUAGAGACAGGGUUUCACCAUAUUGGCCAGGCUAGUUUUAAAGUCCUGGCCUCAACUGAUCUGCUGCCUUGGCCUCCUAAAGUGACGGGAUUACAGAUGUGAGCCACCACAGAUUAGAGAUGAGGUUUCUCCAUGGCCUAGCUGGUCUCGAACUCCUGGCCUCAAGUGACCUGUCCUCCUCGGCCUUCCAAAGUGCUAGGAUUACAGUAGAGACGGGGUUUCACCAUGUCGACCAGGCUGGUCUCGAACUCCUGAUGUCAAGGGAUGCACCUGCCUUGGCCUCCCAAAGUGCUGGGAUUACAGCUCUCUGACACAGCUGGCUAUUCUAGUCCCAGAAGAAAGAGGAGAGACUUGCUGAAGAUCUGGAUGGGACAAUAGAAGUUUGGGGCACAUUAAAAAGAAGCAGCAAGAACAUCAACAAAAACCUCAGAUGAUUCAAACAGGCUUCUUCUUGGCUUUG